rnacentral:rRNA from 1 species
AUUGAACGCUGGCGGCAGGCCUAACACAUGCAAGUCGAGCGGUUGAAGGGAGCUUGCUCCCUGAUUCAGCGGCGGACGGGUGAGUAAUGCCUAGGAAUCUGCCUAUUAGUGGGGGACAACGUUUCGAAAGGAACGCUAAUACCGCAUACGUCCUACGGGAGAAAGCAGGGGACCUUCGGGCCUUGCGCUAAUAGAUGAGCCUAGGUCGGAUUAGGUUGUUGGUGAGGUAAUGGCUCACCAAGGCGACGAUCCGUAACUGGUCUGAGAGGAUGAUCAGUCACACUGGAACUGAGACACGGUCCAGACUCCUACGGGAGGCAGCAGUGGGGAAUAUUGGACAAUGGGCGAAAGCCUGAUCCAGCCAGGCCGCGUGGGUGAAGAAGGUCUUCGGAUUGUAAAGCACUUUAAGUUGGGAGGAAGGGUUGUAGAUUAAUACUCUGCAAUUUUGACGUUACCGACAGAAUAAGCACCGGCUAACUCUGUGCCAGCCGCCGCCGUAAGAC